CAAUAACUUACAUUUGUUUUAUCAUCUCAAACGAAACGCAAGUAUAUAUUUAAAAAAAAGAAAAUCUACAUUUCUUUCAAUCUGACAAGUCUCUCCAUACACUGCAAACUUGUACAAAUUUACUUCACCGGUUUCUUUCAGGUGUUAACAACUGACGACCAACUUGACAAAGUGAUUCGCCACAAUUGAAUUGCGCAAAAGCACGAAACAAAAAGAAAGUUGGCUACGUUGUUGAGCGCAAUACGGUUAUCAAGCGGAGGAGUUCGCGAGAAAGCACAAAGCUCACCACUAUAAGCUGGUAAUGAAGUUGGCAAGUAGAGAUACCGAGUCGACGUUCGUAAUACCGCGCCAAAAAGGCGAGAUCAAAUCGCGAAACUCCGCCUUUUCUGCGUUUUAGGUCGGCGAUGGAAAAAUCUAUCGACGAUUGUUUUAAAAACGACGGAAAUUCCCCGUGUAACGAUACCGUUACGAUAUUCGAUGAAUUUUUCAAGGCUCGUCGCUCAAAGACGACCAGAACACUUAAGCUAGGUCAAAACUUAAAGCCGGAUCCACGCUUAACGAACGAGUAAUUCUUUUUAUUUCUACUUUUAUUCCAUUUCCACGUUCAACGUAAGUAUAAACAAAUAUCUUUUUGUUAAUUCUAAAUUCAGGGAUAACUCGAACUUUUUUAUACGUAUUAUAUUUUCAUUAAAAAGAGAUCAUUCAUCAACGUUAUUUUCUCUGUCACGAUCUCGUAUAAUUUGGAAAUAUUAAAUUACAGUUUUGUUCAAAGUGAAUCUUUCUAAAUUCGUGCAGUCCAUCUGUUACUCUGAUAUAUUCUUCGAUAAUAUCGAAGAAUAUUCAAGAAUACUCUAUUUGUAAUAAAUACUUAAACUUUAAAUUUAAAUUUACGUCAAUAUUGUUGUCUUUUUCUUAAUUAUUCGUAUAACAAUUGUAAUAUUGAUCACGUUACGAUUAUCACAUUCAUUUGUAUUCUUAAUAUCUAUAUUUAUUCGCCCAAUGUAAAUCUGGCUUAAGACGCCUGUUUCAAGAAACAGGCAACGGGCUGAAUUUCCAACAAUUUUCCCGUUGGAUAAUUUGCACAUCGAAAGUACCUCGUGGUGGAAAAUGGUCCGCUAUAGGCCAUUCUCUUUUCGUUUCUCAUCCAGUUGUAGAAGGGGAAGCGCAGAAACCAGAGCGAAUUCCUCGUAGAACAGAAUUUCCGCGAACGGAGAAAAGAUGGCGUGAACAGGCGAGGGAGAGACGAAGGUCUGAUAGAGAGGCAGUUGCGUGUUCUCCCUCGUCUCGUAAUAAAGCUCACGCGAACACGUUGUUGACAGAAAAAUAAAAGCCUGGCUGUGUGUUCGUGACAGCUGUGCCUGUCGGGAGGGAAAUAUCGCGUAUCCUUUCUCGAUUAUGCGUUUACACGAAAAUACGGGCUGGCAAAUAUUUCACGCGUGCAGGACGAAAAUUCCCAAAAUUGUUAGACACGUGGCGCUUUUGCCACGUGAAAAUAUUUUCUCGAAAUUCUCCCCGUUUCUCCGUCGGUACACACAUCCAUAAUUGAAUUUUCUUUUUAUUCGUUCAGGAUAAAUGGGGAGGCAAGGGAAAUAUUGCGAUUAAUUAUAAUUUAUUUUGUUACUGAGUUGAAGAAUUGAGGUAGAUUGGCUUGAUGUAAUGAUAUUGAUGAAAGAAAUUAAGUUAUAGAUUUUGACGAAAUUGUAUAAUUUUUUUUAAUUCUUACGUUAUUUGUGUCAUUAAUAUGUUCAUGUGUGUCCUUUGAUAUCAUUGUAUAAUAUCAUCGUUCCUAUCUUUCAGAAAUUUAUUGUCCAAAAUUUUUAUAAUCGUAUAGAUACAUAAAUAAUUUUAUUUGAUUUUGUAGAAGAAAAGAUAUAACAUUAUUGUACGGAUGUAUAAAUAUAUAUAUAUUAUACGUUAUACUGUUGACAUAGAAUAAACACAAUAAUAUAAAACUACAAUUUUAUAUAAAAUGUAGAAUUUAAAGAUAAUAAAACACGGAAAACAAAUAAAAAUAACAAAAAGCAUCUGAUGAAAAAAAAUUUCUCAAUAAAUGCCAAUAAUUAUUUUACAAUUAAACUGUUUGUUCGCGGAUCAAAAUUAAUUCGCACUUUCAUACAUAUAUCAUUUGGAAUAAAAAAAUCAGAUAAACACAAACACUUUCAAAAAAAAAACCUAUCAUUCAAAAAUUAAAAAUAUCAUUAUGAAAAAAUGACGAUAUACCUUCCAAUAAAACCAUCAUUUUAAAUGGUAAUAACAGUUGUUGCUAACAAAUCGCGAAUCGUAAUUAGAUUAUUAACGUUCGAAAUAUCAAAUUUCAUCAAUCCUCGAAAUGUUCGAUCAAAAAUAGCGUUUGAACAUUUCGCAGAAUAACUGCGCGUGGCUCGUUCCCAUGCAAACCAGCUCGAAAUAAUGUAUAGGGCCAUUAUCGACGCUUCUCGACCGGCGCGAAGAAUAAAUAUUUUAAUGCUCCCGAAGUUAAUCACCCGGGAUUGGUAGCAAUUAAAUUCAUCGACAGUGAAAUCAUCGGAUCGGCAUUGGAUAACGAGCAGUCAUUGCAUCCGGUCUGCAUCUUCCGCGAUGAAAAAUUAACGUCUGCGGAUUUUUGUACAAAUAUAUUUUUCAUACAACGUAUGUUCAUAAUCAUAAAAUGUCUUUAAUGUUGUACUUUAAUCGAUCGCUAAAUUAUUGAAGAGUAAAAAUAAUUUUGUUCCUGAUAAGAUUAUAAGAUGCUAAAUUGUAUUGCAUUAUAUGUUUUUCAUUAUUAUUAAUUGAUAAAAAUUAAGCUUCUGAAAGAUUUGAUUCUGAAAAAGUUUCAACAGAUUUUUUAACGAACGUUACAGUUUACUUGGUCAUUUUUAUUUUAUUGAAAAUUUACGAUACGAUUGAAAUAAGUAAGUAUUAUCAAAAUUAUUUUUUUAAAAUGUGAUUAAUAAAGAAAUGUAAGAAGAUUUCGUUUUAUUUUUUAGAAAUAUUUACUCAAAACGUAAUAUAAAUUUUCCGAUUCCGUUUCGUCAAGUAGUCGAAUGCUGUGCUGUGUAAAUAGAAAUGUAUGGUGACAUAGUAAUGUAGUAUACUAGUAUGUAGUUACGAUACUGGACUAAAAAUAUAUGAAUGAUAUGAAUUUAUGAAUUAGAAGAACGAAAAUUCGCAAAUGAGAAAAAUAAAAUAUGAAUAAAUGAUAAAUAAUGGGAGAUUAAAGUUACAGAAAAGAAGAAAAAGUUUAAAUAACUUAUGAACACGUGGAUAUAUGUUCAUAUUCGGGAGACACCGUAUAUUCCGUUGAAAACCAAGAAAAUUUACCUCUAAUUUCGAUAUUUUGCAUCGCAAGUAUUGUAUCUCCGGAUCGAUAUUCAUAAUCCAACAAUGUAGAUGUAAAACGUAUUCUUGUAUAAGAAUCUUACCUGAUAUAAAGAGAAGCAAUCCGAUCAAGAGAAGAAGAUCCAUAGUCUUGCCUUCUUUUUUCUAGCUUCGCUCUACUUUUGUGUCAUCCUCCGUGUCGAAGACUCGUUUCCGGCAAAUCCACUUGUCGAUGUCGUUGCGGCUCUAUCCGUUUCUUCCUCACCGGAUGACAGGUGAUCGAAAGAUCCCGUUGAUAUCGAUCGAGACUUGGCAAUAUUUUCCUUUCUUUUCGAAAGAGAAAUUGAUCAAAUGAUGACUGCCAGAAAUCCACUAAAAACUGAGACUGAAUGAGAGUGAUUCCACGAAAAUUUCACGAAAAAGGAAAUGUAACCGGACGAAAAUUCGUAGAGAGAGAGAGAGAGAGAGAAACGAAUUUCCGCGAGAAUUCCACGCGAUUUCCGGAAGCUACGAUACGAAAAUAAGUCUCGCGGAGUGCGAAGAGUCGGUCGAGAAACCGGUGAACGACGAGAUGGUGUACGACGAGCGCAAGAGGUCCAGUGAACGAAAGACUCGACGAAGAUGCGGAGCAACACGCGGUGUUGUUAACUAAGCUGCCGCUGUUCACAGGGCUGUGUGACACGCUGCAUAGAGCGCGGUACGAGACCAGUUCGAAGACUGAGUACGAGUCCAUAUCCCGGAGGCUGACUUCUCUCGGCCCUACCAGGGUACGCCGUACAGUAAUGCCCGUCCAUUGCCCGCCUCUGGAUAACGUUUCCUUCCACCAUUAGGCAACACACGCGAUACACGGUUCGCCGUGAAACACGUUGUGCUCUCCGUGUCCUCAACGCGGGGGAAUCGUUGCGGGAUUAUCGCGGAUCUUUUGGAGGAGCCUCUCUCUUUCUCUCUUUCUUUCUGUCCAUCUUGCUCGCUCCCUCUCUUUCUUUCUUGGUUCCUUUCUGGUAUGGAGACCUGGUCGUUGGAAAUGAAACGAUAAGAUUCGAAGUUGGAAUAAUUCAAGGGCGAGUUUCUGAAAAUAGAUUGGUUCUUUAUGCAUUCAAUGGUUGAGAAUAGUAUGGUGUAGUUUGAGAGUUGAAAAUGGGUGAGUGAGAAUGAUGUGAAAAUAAGAUAAUAUAAAGUUUGAACAAAUCGAUAUCGAUAUGUAAUAAUUAUAAUUUAUUUGUUUAGAAUAAUUUUGAAAUAGAUUGGUUUCUUCGUAUUGGAAUUUUGAGAAUAUGAAUUAAAUAUUUAAUAUUGAAAAUACGUGAAUGAGAAUGAAUUAAAAUAAAGUUUGAAAGUGUUAAUAUGAUUAAAAUAAUUAAAAUUUAUCUUUUAGAAUAAUUCAGAGGUGAGUUCUCCUUUGGUUGGUUUCUUUUAAAAAAAAUAUUGUGUUAGAAUAAUAUAAGUUAAUAUCUAAAUUCUAAUCUAAAUUCUGAAAAUAUAAUAAAAUUUAUUUUUUAGGACAACACUUCUAAUAAGAUAAUAAUUAUAAAAAAAAUCCGUUAUAAAUUAUAAUGUAAUGUAAUAAAAUGUUACUAUUUGUAAUCGUUGAAAAUAUAUUUUUUAAAAAUAUAGAAAAA